rnacentral:rRNA from 1 species
AUUGAACGCUGGCGGCAGGCCUAACACAUGCGAGUCGAGCGGAUGAAGGGAGCUUGCUCCUGGAUUCAGCGGCGGACGGGUGAGUAAUGCCUAGGAAUCUGCCUGGUAUUGGGGGAUAACGUCCGGAAACGGGCGCUAAUACCGCAUACGUCCUGAGGGAGAAAGUGGGGGAUCUUCGGACCUCACGCUAUCAGAUGAGCCUAGUUCGGAUUAGCUAGUUGGUGGGGUAAAGGCCUACCAAGGCGACGAUCCGUAACUGGUCUGAGAGGAUGAUCAGUCACACUGGAACUGAGACACGGUCCAGACUCCUACGGGAGGCAGCAGUGGGGAAUAUUGGACAAUGGGCGAAAGCCUGAUCCAGCCAUGCCGCGUGUGUGAAGAAGGUCUUCGGAUUGUAAAGCACUUUAAGUUGGGAGGAAGGGCAGUAAGUUAAUACCUUGCUGUUUUGACGUUACCAACAGAAUAAGCACCGGCUAACUUCGUG